AGAGUUUGAUUAUGGCUCAGGAUGAACGCUGGCGGCGUGCUUAACACAUGCAAGUCGAACGGAGUAUUAAGAAUGAAGUUUCGGAUGGAUUUUUAGACUUAGUGGCGGACGGGUGAGUAACGCGUGGGUAACCUGCCUCACACAGGGGGAUAACAGUUGGAAACGACUGUUAAUACCGCAUAAGACCACAGUACCGCAUGGUACAGGGGUAAAAACUCCGGUGGUGUGAGAUGGACCCGCGUCUGAUUAGUUAGUUGGCGGGGUAACGGCCCACCAAGACGACGAUCAGUAGCCGAUCUGAGAGGAUGACCGGCCACAUUGGGACUAAGACACGGCCCAAACUCCUACGGGAGGCAGCAGUGGGGAAUAUUGCACAAUGGGGGAAACCCUGAUGCAAGCGACGCCGCGUGAGUGAAGAAGUAUUUCGGUAUGUAAAGCUCUAUCAGCAGGGAAGAAGAUGACGGUACCUGAGUAAGAAGCCCCGGCUAACUACGUGCCAGCCGCCGC
rnacentral:rRNA from 1 species